rnacentral:rRNA from 1 species
AGCUCCAAUAGCGUAUAUUAAAGUUGUUGCGGUUAAAAAGCUCGUAGUUGGAUUUCUGCCGAGGACGACCGGUCCGCCCUCUGGGUUGGUAUCUGGUUCGGCCUGGGCAUCUUCUUGGGGAACGUUCUGCACUUCACUGUGUGGGUCGGUAACCAGGACUUUUACUUUGAGGAAAUUAGAGUGUUUCAAGCAGGCUUUUAGCCUUGAAUACAUUAGCAUGGAAUAAUGAUAUAGGACCUCGGUUCUAUUUUGUUGGUUUCUAGAACUGUGGUAAUGAUUAAUAGGGAUAGUUGGGGAAACUGUUACUACGUUGUCAGAGGUGAAAUUCUUGGAUUUACGUAUGAACAACUAAUGCGAAAGCAUUUUUCAAGG